rfam:Stegodyphus mimosarum contig95440, whole genome shotgun sequence.
GUAGGUUACGGGGAUAUGGCACCCAAAACAUAUGCUGGUAUGUUCGUGGGUGCUUUGUGUGCGCUAGCUGGAGUGCUAACCAUCGCGCUGCCCGUGCCUGUUAUUGUCUCAAAC